rnacentral:sRNA from 1 species
ACAUUUCUGAUAGAAAGGCCAGGAGGAUGUAGACUCUGUCCUUGUUCAGGUCCCCACCUUGCUGAAGGCGCCAGAGCUCAUGUAGGGCCAAUGAGCCGGCUCAGGCUGAGCACUGCUGAGUGGGUAGAUGUUACUCUCCAGCAGGAAGAUGAAGCACCUCCCAGGCCCCCACUCCCCGAACUCUACAGCCCAGAGGACCAGCCCCCGGCUGUGCCGCCUCUGCCAAGAGAGGCCACCAUCAUCCGGCACACAUCUGUGCGGGGCCUCAAGCGGCAGUCAGACGAGAGGAAGCGAGACCGGGAGCUGGGGCAGUGUGUGAAUGGGGAUUCCAGGGUGGAGCUGCGGUCGUAUGUCAGUGAGCCUGAGCUGGCGACCCUCAGCGGGGACAUGGCCCAGCCCUCCCUGGGACUUGUGGGCCCUGAGAGCAGGUACCAGACGCUGCCAGGCAGAGGGCUCUCAGGGUCCACGUCAAGGCUCCAGCAGUCGUCCACCAUUGCUCCCUACGUCACACUCCGGAGGGGUCUCAAUGCCGAAAGCAGCAAGGCGACCUUCCCUAGACCUAAGAGUGCCUUGGAGCGCCUGUACUCAGGGGAUCACCAGCGAGGCAAGAUGAGUGCAGAGGAGCAGCUGGAGCGCAUGAAGCGACACCAGAAGGCCCUGGUCCGAGAGCGCAAGAGGACACUGGGCCAAGGGGAGAGGACGGGCCUGCCCUCAUCUCGCUACCUCAGCCGGCCGCUCCCUGGAGAUCUUGGCUCAGUAUGUUAGGAGGGGCCAGGCAGCGGGGCAGGGACAGGGAGCCGAGUGCCCCUCAGAGUCCCCCAAACACAAGCACAUCACACCUCCCAGUGAGAGAGCUGUCCAUUGACCUACAUGGUUCAGAGAACACCCCACGGGGCUGUUUGUCCACGACCCAGGCUGGACAAAUGCCUGGUCAGAGGGUGACCUGAACCAGAGCUGGAGUGAGGAUCAAACAGGCCCAGGAGCCUGAGGAAAUACCCAGUCAGUCCUCCCAGCCGCGAUGGAGAGGGGCCUUUGCAGGCGUUCGGAAUCUCGGCUGAAUUCAGGACCUGGGAAUACAGGGUUCAGAGAGGAGAGGAGGAAGAUGGUGACAUGAUUUGGUUAGAAGCACAAGCAAACUGAUCAGCCUCCCAGACCUGCCAGCAGAUGCUGUGUGAGGGUGAUGGAGCACGGGGUCACACCCCUGCCCCAAGGGCCACUGAUCUCCCUGGGCUUGCAGUGCAGAGGCCUCAGGGUGUCUGGGAUUGCUGGGGAGGCCUGUGCUGCCCCCUGGUGGCGCUUCCUGGCGCUGCGCCCUGUCCACAGUCACCUUAGGUCCCUUUGGAAACAUUCCAUUUGACUUUUCCCUGUUGUUUGAAAUCCCAUGUUUCCCUAAACCUCUAGCCUGAUUGUUCUUUCCCUAAUUCAUUGCACAAGCUCCUUUGCUUUUAGUGUUACCGCUCAUUGCCUCUCUAAUCCUGCCUGAUUGUGUUUACAGAAGCUUCUGAUUUGCAUUGAACAUGCUCUAACUGGCCUGUGCUACUUAUUACCAGGCUUGUAAUAGCGGUUCUUGUCUCCAUAGCCUGUUGAGUGUUCCCAGAUGUGACUCACCUUUCUGCUGCCCUCUUCAUGCAGGCCUACUGACUCAUAAUUCACUUGUCCCAAAAGCCACCCCACAAGCCUGAGCCAACCUGCUGCCUGACGCCACAGUCAUUGGCAGAGGUCUGGGCAUUAUUAAUUUAUAAAAAUCCAUGCUUUACACCUGGACAGUAGACAGGGACUUCAGAGAUUGCACGUUUGAAUACAUUCUCCCAAGACUGAGGUUGUUCGGUUUUAAUUCCUAUAGUCCAAUCACACAAUUUCUUAUGGAAAACCUUUUGUGUUUCUGGUAUUUAAUAACUUGAAGGGAUAGCAAAAUAUACUGUGUAUUCAGAGGGCCUCUCUGCAGCUGCUAGCUCAGACACCAAAGGGGUAAGGCCCAGGACAUUCAUAUCUUUAAAAGCUGCAAACCUGGUAACCUUUAAACUUUUAAAACAAAUGUCAUAUGGGGUAACACUGACCUUUUAUAAUUUGAUGUCUCAAAUGUAGAGAUUAUCUAAAAAUCGUAACUUGAAUACCUUGUAAUUUUUCUCUUAAAAAAGAAGACUUGUGUAAGUCUCUGCAUCAACGCCAAUAAACAUGUUGCUUAAUAAUAA